CCUACGGGUGGCAGCAGUGAGGAAUAUUGGUCAAUGGGCGAGAGCCUGAACCAGCCAAGUCGCGUGAAGGAUGACGGCCCUACGGGUUGUAAACUCCUUUUGUCAGGGAGCAAUUGGGUCCACGCGUGGGCUUAGCGAGAGUACCUGACGUACAAGCAUCGGCUAACUCCGUGCCAGCAGCCGCGGUAGUACGUAGGAUGCGAGCGUUAUCCGGAUUUAUUGGGUUUACCGGGUGCGUAGGCGGAAUAUCAAGUCAGCGGUAAAAAGUCGGGGCUGAACCCCGUCGUGCCGUGGAAACUGAUGGUCUUGAGUGUGCGAGAAGUAUGCGGAAUGCGUGGUGUAGCGGUGAAAUGCAUAGAGAUCACGCAGAACUCCGAUGGCGAAGGCAGCAUACCGGCGCCCAACUGACGCUGAAGCACGAAAGCGUGGGUAGCGAACAGGAUUAGAUACCCCAGUAGUC
rnacentral:rRNA from 1 species